CCUACACCCAAAAGAAGGAUCAUGUGCUAUGGACUGCAGUUCAUCGUGGGUGACUGAAACCACAGGAGAUGACACUGUCACCUGGGGGAAUACUGUAGAUCGCCACGUUUCUUUCCAUGAGGUUAUACUAAAUUGUGUCUCCAUUAAUAUUGAGGUCAAGAUUCAACACCUGGACACUUAUACUGCCUUUCCAAACUUUAUUUGUGCUUUUCAAUAAAU
rnacentral:lncRNA from 1 species